AACGAACGCUGGCGGCAGGCUUAACACAUGCAAGUCGAACGCACCUUUCGGGGUUAGUGGCCGACGGGUGAGUAACGCGUGGGAAUCUACCCUUCUCUACGGGAUAGCUCCGGGAAACUGGAAUUAAUACCGUAUACGUCCUGAGGGAGAAAGAUUUAUCGGGGAAGGAUGAGCCCGCGUUGGAUUAGCUAGUUGGUGGGGUAAAGGCCUACCAAGGCGACGAUCCAUAGCUGGUCUAAGAGGAUGAUCAGCCACAUUGGGACUGAGACACGGCCCAAACUCCUACGGGAGGCAGCAGUGGGGAAUAUUGGACAAUGGGCGCAAGCCUGAUCCAGCCAUGCCGCGUGAGUGAUGAAGGCCCUAGGGUUGUAAAGCUCUUUCAGUGGGGACGAUAAUGACGGUACCCACAGAAGAAGCCCCGGCUAACUUCGUG
rnacentral:rRNA from 1 species